rnacentral:rRNA from 1 species
AUUGAACGCUGGCGGCAGGCCUAACACAUGCAAGUCGAGCGGAGCGGCGGACGGGUGCGUAAUGCCUAGGAAUCUGCCUGGUAGUGGGGGAUAACGUCCGGAAACGGGCGCUAAUACCGCAUACUAUCAGAUGAGCCUAGGUCGGAUUAGCUUGUGGGUGGGGUAAAGGCUUACCAAGGCGACGAUCCGUAACUGGUCUGAGAGGAUGAUCAGUCACACGGGAAAUGAGACACGGUCCAGACCCCUACGGGAGGCAGCAGUGGGGAAUAUUGGACAAUGGGCGAAAGCCUGAUCCAGCCAUGCCGCGUGUAUGAAGAAGGUCUUAGGGUUGUAAAGUACUUUCAGUUGGGAGGCGUUACCAGCAGAAGAAGCACCGGCUAACUCCGUGCCAGCAGCCGCGGUAAUAC